CCCCAGGUGGCUCAGUGGUAAAGAAUCUGCCUGCCAAGCAGGAGGCAUGGGUUAGACCCCUGGGCUGGGGA
rnacentral:tRNA from 1 species